UCCGGGCGGACGCCGAGUCCUGCCGCCGCCCGGAUGACCGGUCGACAGGAGUGGAUCGGCAGGAGUGGAGGACCCGAGCACGACGGGUCGCCGGGACGGUCACGCCAUGACCGGGUCCGAGCAGCCCUUGGGGUGAAGCCGCGACCACGCGGCCGGGCAACUUCGCCAGCCCGAAUCCGACAGGUCAUCCUUCACAGGCGGCUGACGAAGGGUUG
rnacentral:sRNA from 2 species